rnacentral:rRNA from 1 species
AGAGUUUGAUCCUGGCUCAGGAUGAACGCUGGCGGCGUGCCUAACACAUGCAAGUUGAGCGAUUUACUUCGGUAAAGAGCGGCGGACGGGUGAGUAACGCGUGGGUAACCUACCCUGUACACACGGAUAACAUACCGAAAGGUAUGCUAAUACGGGAUAAUAUAUUUGAGAGGCAUCUCUUGAAUAUCAAAGGUGAGCCAGUACAGGAUGGACCCGCGUCUGAUUAGCUAGUUGGUAAGGUAACGGCUUACCAAGGCGACGAUCAGUAGCCGACCUGAGAGGGUGAUCGGCCACAUUGGAACUGAGACACGGUCCAAACUCCUACGGGAGGCAGCAGUGGGGAAUAUUGCACAAUGGGCGAAAGCCUGAUGCAGCAACGCCGCGUGAGUGAUGAAGGCCUUCGGGUCGUAAAACUCUGUCCUCAAGGAAGAUAAUGACGGUACUUGAGGAGGAAGCCCCGGCUAACUACGUGCCAGCAGCCGCGGUAAUACGUAGGGGGCUAGCGUUAUCCGGAUUUAGUGGGCGUAAAGGGUGCGUAGGCGGUCUUUCAAGUCAGGAGUGAAAGGCUACGGCUCAACCGUAGUAAGCUCUUGAAACUGGGAGACUUGAGUGCAGGAGAGGAGAGUGGAAUCCUAGUGUAGCGGUGAAAUGCGUAGAUAUUAGGAGGAACACCAGUUGCGAAGGCGGCUCUCUGGACUGUAACUGACGCUGAGGCACGAAAGCGUGGGGAGCAAACAGGAUUAGAUUCCCUGGUAGUCCACGCUGUAAACGAUGAGUACUAGGUGUCGGGGGUUACCCCCUUCGGUGCCGCAGCUAACGCAUUAAGUACUCCGCCUGGGAAGUACGCUCGCAAGAGUGAAACUCAAAGGAAUUGACGGGGACCCGCACAAGUAGCGGAGCAUGUGGUUUAAUUCGAAGCAACGCGAAGAACCUUACCUAAGCUUGACAUCCCAAUGACAUCUCCUUAAUCGGAGAGUUCCCUUCGGGGACAUUGGUGACAGGUGGUGCAUGGUUGUCGUCAGCUCGUGUCGUGAGAUGUUGGGUUAAGUCCCGCAACGAGCGCAACCCUUGUCUUUAGUUGCCAUCAUUAAGUUGGGCACUCUAGAGAGACUGCCAGGGAUAACCUGGAGGAAGGUGGGGAUGACGUCAAAUCAUCAUGCCCCUUAUGCUUAGGGCUACACACGUGCUACAAUGGGUAGUACAGAGGGUUGCCAAGCCGUAAGGUGGAGCUAAUCCCUUAAAGCUACUCUCAGUUCGGAUUGUAGGCUGAAACUCGCCUACAUGAAGCUGGAGUUACUAGUAAUCGCAGAUCAGAAUGCUGCGGUGAAUGCGUUCCCGGGUCUUGUACACACCGCCCGUCACACCACGGGAGUUGGAGACGCCCGAAGCCGAUUAUCUAACCUUUUGGAAGAAGUCGUCGAAGGUGGAAUCAAUAACUGGGGUGAAGUCGUAACAAGGUAGCCGUAUCGGAAGGUGCGGCUGGAUCACCU